rnacentral:rRNA from 1 species
GAUGAACGCUGGCGGCAGGCCUAACACAUGCAAGUCGAGCGAAGCCUUCGGGCUUAGCGGCGGACGGGUGAGUAACGCGUGGGAACGUGCCCUUUGGUACGGAAUAGCCCCGGGAAACUGGGAGUAAUACCGUAUGUGGUCGAGAGACGAAAGAUUUAUCGCCAAAGGAUCGGCCCGCGUUGGAUUAGGUAGUUGGUGGGGUAAUGGCCUACCAAGCCGACGAUCCAUAGCUGGUUUGAGAGGAUGAUCAGCCACACUGGGACUGAGACACGGCCCAGACUCCUACGGGAGGCAGCAGUGGGGAAUCUUAGACAAUGGGGGAAACCCUGAUCUAGCCAUGCCGCGUGAUCGAUGAAGGCCUUAGGGUUGUAAAGAUCUUUCAGUGGGGAAGAUAAUGACUGUACCCACAGAAGAAGCCCCGGCUAACUCCGUGCCAGCCGCCGCGGUAA